rnacentral:rRNA from 1 species
CGCUAGCUACAGGCUUAACACAUGCAAGUCGAGGGGCAGCAUGGUCUUAGCUUGCUAAGGCCGAUGGCGACCGGCGCACGGGUGAGUAACACGUAUCCAACCUGCCGUCUACUCUUGGACAGCCUUCUGAAAGGAAGAUUAAUACAAGAUGGCAUCAUGAGUCCGCAUGUUCACAUGAUUAAAGGUAUUCCGGUAGACGAUGGGGAUGCGUUCCAUUAGAUAGUAGGCGGGGUAACGGCCCACCUAGUCUUCGAUGGAUAGGGGUUCUGAGAGGAAGGUCCCCCACAUUGGAACUGACACACGGUCCAAACUCCUACGGGAGGCAGCAGUGAGGAAUAUUGGUCAAUGGGCGAGAGCCUGAACCAGCCAAGUAGCGUGAAGGAUGACUGCCCUAUGGGUUGUAAACUUCUUUUAUAAAGGAAUAAAGUCGGGUAUGCAUACCCGUUUGCAUGUACUUUAUGAAUAAGGAUCGGCUAACUCCGUGCCAGCAGCCGCGGUAAUACGGAGGAUCCGAGCGUUAUCCGGAUUUAUUGGGUUUAAAGGGAGCGUAGAUGGAUGUUUAAGUCAGUUGUGAAAAGUUUGCGGCUCACCCGUAAAAUUGCAGUUGAUACUGGAUAUCUUGAGUGCAGUUGAGGCAGGCGGAAUUCGUGGUGUAGCGGUGAAAUGCUUAGAUAUCACGAAGAACUCCGAUUGCGAAGGCAGCCUGCUAAGCUGCAACUGACAUUGAGGCUCGAAAGUGUGGGUAUCAAACAGGAUUAGAUACCCUGGUAGUCCACACGGUAAACGAUGAAUACUCGCUGUUUGCGAUAUACAGCAAGCGGCCAAGCGAAAGCGUUAAGUAUUCCACCUGGGGAGUACGCCGGCAACGGUGAAACUCAAAGGAAUUGACGGGGGCCCGCACAAGCGGAGGAACAUGUGGUUUAAUUCGAUGAUACGCGAGGAACCUUACCCGGGCUUAAAUUGCAGAUGAAUUACGGUGAAAGCCGUAAGCCGCAAGGCAUCUGUGAAGGUGUUGCAUGGUUGUCGUCAGCUCGUGCCGUGAGGUGUCGGCUUAAGUGCCAUAACGAGCGCAACCCUUGUUGUCAGUUACUAACAGGUUCCGCUGAGGACUCUGACAAGACUGCCAUCGUAAGAUGUGAGGAAGGUGGGGAUGACGUCAAAUCAGCACGGCCCUUACGUCCGGGGCUACACACGUGUUACAAUGGGGGGGUACAGAGGGCCGCUACCACGCGAGUGGAUGCCAAUCCCAAAAACCUCUCUCAGUUCGGACUGGAGUCUGCAACCCGACUCCACGAAGCUGGAUUCGCUAGUAAUCGCGCAUCAGCCACGGCGCGGUGAAUACGUUCCCGGGCCUUGUACACACCGCCCGUCAAGCCAUGGGAGCCGGGGGUACCUGAAGUGCGUAACCGCGAGGAGCGCCCUAGGGUAAAACUGGUGAA